AAAGCAGAGAGUGCCACCACACAUGACAUUCAACUACCGCUUCCAAUCCCGCACAACACAAAUCUGUCCUUUUUUUUCACGCGCAUAGAAAGAGAGAGGCGAUGUCAAAACCACAAGAAGAAGAAGAAGAGUUUCAAAGCUCAGGCAAAAGGCUGAAAUGCACCAAAUCCCUUAAAGAUGAUGAAAUGGAAAGCGAUGUUUCAUUAAUGGAGGAUACAAGAGGAGGGUUGUUUUUCCACCCAACGACACCCGUAUCUUUUGUGGUUUCGGAUGCCUUAGAGCUUGAUUUUCCUAUCAUUUAUGUCAACAAGGUCUUCGAGAUCUUCACUGGCUACCAUGCUCACGAGGUCCUCGGUCGCAACUGUCGGUUCUUACAAUACAGGGAUCCCCGUGCUCAAAGAAGGCAUCCUUUAGUAGACCCUGCUGUUGUUUCUGAAAUCAGAAGAUGUCUCGAGGAAGGGAUGGAAUUCCAAGGUGAACUUCUAAACUUUAGGAAGGAUGGUACUCCACUGGUGAACAGGCUCAGACUUGUACCUAUACACGAUGAUGAUGGAAUUAUCACACAGGUAAUAGGUAUUCAGGUAUUUUCUGAAGCCAAAAUAGAUCUGAACCAUGUAUCAUAUCCAGUCUACAAAGAGACUUGCAAUCAACGGUCUGAUCACUCAGCUAAUUAUUCUCCACGGCAUGGACAAUCACCAUUUACUCAGCAUCAAGAAAUAUGUGGGAUACUUCAGUUGUCUGAUGAAGUAUUGGCUCAUAACAUUCUAUCACGCUUGACACCAAGGGAUGUUGCAUCCAUUGGAUCUGUCUGCAGAAGAAUCCGGCAAUUAACAAAAAAUGAGCAUGUAAGGAAGAUGGUUUGUCAAAAUGCAUGGGGAAGAGAAGUCACAGGUGCAUUGGAGCUGAUGACUAAAAAGUUGGGUUGGGGACGUCUGGCAAGGGAACUGACUACCCUCGAAGCUGUCUGCUGGAGGAAAGUGACAGUUGGAGGUGCGGUUGAGCCUUCACGUUGCAAUUUCAGUGCAUGUGCAGUAGGGAAUAGACUUGUAUUGUUUGGAGGGGAAGGAGUAAACAUGCAGCCGAUGGAUGACACUUUUGUUCUCAAUCUUGAUGCUGCAAAUCCAGAGUGGCAGCGGAUAAGUGUGAAAUCAUCCCCACCAGGGCGCUGGGGUCACACUCUUUCUUGCCUAAAUGGUUCCUGGUUGGUGGUGUUUGGAGGAUGUGGAAGGCAAGGGUUGCUCAAUGAUGUCUUUGUUAUGGACUUGGAUGCCAAGCAGCCGACAUGGAAGGAAGUUUCUGGUGGAACUCCCCCUCUUCCUAGAUCGUGGCAUAGCUCUUGCACCAUAGAAGGUUCUAAGUUGGUUGUCUCAGGUGGAUGUACAGAUGCUGGGGUACUUCUCAGUGACACCUACUUGUUGGAUCUCACUAUAGACAAGCCUAUAUGGAGGGAGAUCCCAACUUCUUGGGCUCCUCCAUCUCGAUUAGGGCAUUCACUCUCAGUUUAUGGUCGGACGAAAAUUCUUAUGUUUGGUGGACUUGCCAAGAGUGGGCACUUACGACUGAGAUCAGGUGAGGCCUACACCAUUGACUUGGAGGAUGAAGAACCACAUUGGAGGCAAUUGGAGUGUAGUGCAUUAACUGGUAUAGGGAGCCAGAGUUCUGUUGUCCCCCCUCCCAGACUUGAUCAUGUUGCUGUUAGCAUGCCCUGUGGAAGGAUUAUAAUCUUUGGUGGUUCUAUUGCUGGGUUGCACUCUCCUUCCCAGCUUUUCCUGUUAGAUCCUGCUGAGGAGAAACCAUCAUGGAGGAUUCUCAACGUUCCUGGUCAACCACCUAAGCUUGCGUGGGGCCAUAGCACCUGUGUGGUUGGAGGGACGAGGGUCCUGGUAUUGGGAGGGCACACUGGGGAGGAAUGGAUACUAAACGAAUUGCAUGAGUUGUGCUUAGCAAGCAAGCAAGACUUAGAACAACCAUGAUUUAACAUUGAGCUGUCCAUAUGUCGGUUGACACAAGUUUUGCACCAGCAGCCACUCAAGAAAACUUUGUUUGAUGACCUAUGCCAUUUGAGGUUCUUCAGCUAGAUCACUUCUUUCUGUAUCACUGCAUGCUUUCCCCCAUGCUUUGUGUGCAUACUUGUAAGACGUGAUCGGUUGUUAGCCGGUUUUGCUUUAUGUGCUUCCUCUGUUCUUUUAACUUUCCCUGUUUAUUUUUCCUAUUGCGUGAGAAUGCUGGUGAUUGGAUGGGAAGAUUCUUUUAACUGACGAGCCCCUGUACGAUAUGCAGCAAAAGCAUUUCUGAGUGCUGAUUCAAGUAAAAAAAUAUAUAUAUAAUAAGUGUGUGUUUUCAUGUAUCACAGCAGAUAAGAUAGAAGCUUCCUGGUAAUGCCGAACAUCUAUAAUACUGGUUUUUCGUGCA